rnacentral:rRNA from 1 species
UACGUAGGGGGCUAGCGUUGUCCGGAUUUAUUGGGCGUAAAGAGCGUGUAGGCGGCCAGGUAGGUCUGCUGUGAAAACUCGAGGCUCAACCUCGAGACGUCGGCGGAAACCAUCUGGCUAGAGUCCGGAAGAGGAGAGUGGAAUUCCCUGGUGUAGCGGUGAAAUGCGCAGAUAUCAGGAAGAACACCCGUGGCGAAGGCGGCUCUCUGGGACGGUACUGACGCUGAGACGCGAAAGCGUGGGGAGCGAACAGG